CAUGCAAGUCGAGCGGUAGCACAGAGAGCUUGCUCUCGGGUGACGAGCGGCGGACGGGUGAGUAAUGUCUGGGAAACUGCCUGAUGGAGGGGGAUAACUACUGGAAACGGUAGCUAAUACCGCAUAAUGUCGCAAGACCAAAGUGGGGGACCUUCGGGCCUCAUGCCAUCAGAUGUGCCCAGAUGGGAUUAGCUAGUAGGUGGGGUAAUGGCUCACCUAGGCGACGAUCCCUAGCUGGUCUGAGAGGAUGACCAGCCACACUGGAACUGAGACACGGUCCAGACUCCUACGGGAGGCAGCAGUGGGGAAUAUUGCACAAUGGGCGCAAGCCUGAUG
rnacentral:rRNA from 1 species